CGGAAAAUAAUUGGACGUACGAUACUGCGGAAAAUUAUGCAUUUUAGGGACGGAUUUUGUGGCUUAUAAGUGUGGUGUCAGCUCCGCGCUAGUGAUCCUAGAUGAUGCAGUGGCAUCAAGAGGUGCAGACGGCGUCGUAAAAUUGUAAAUUUUUUGUGUUUAUAAUCGCGAUAGCUGCCGAUUUUGUUUUUCUUUUGCGGAGACCGCCUCUUCUUGUUUGUUGCAUUGGAUUACCAGUUGGCUGUAGUCAAGGAGGUUUUAGCGUCAACUAAUGUAGGCGCUCGUCGUUCUGGAUCAGCCCGUCUAUUGCAGCGCAGCAUGCAUGUAGAUUACAUCGGUGAUAAGGGAUACUAAUCAGGACCGUGUGGCAAGAUAGUUCAGGACUUGUUUGUAUUUUUCCGUAUCUUUCAUCAGUAUCAGCUGGAGUGCGUUUUCGUAAGCUUGAAUUUCCGGAUGCUUUGAGGUAAAAUUAGGCUGCGUCGAGGAAGGAGAUGACCGUGCAGGAGUUUGGGAGCAGACUGACGUGCGCUUUUCCAUCGGAUAUAGAUGUCGUUAGAAUAAGUAUAAGUAGAUGUAGGAUUAAUUGGAAGUUUCCAUGUCAAGAUUGUUAACUCUUCCUUGUAUGAUUAAGGCCAAUAAA